ensembl:snRNA U6 U6 spliceosomal RNA
UCACUCGACCGCAGCAUGUGUCCAACAUUGACAACGAUGCAGACAAGAUUAGCAUGGCCCCUGCCUAAGGGUGAGACGCAAAUUCGUGAAGCGUUCCAUAUAUUU